rnacentral:tRNA from 1 species
GCAGGUGUGCUGGAAUGGCAGACAGAUUUCGUUUAGGCCGGAAGGGUGUAUAACCGUGCAAGUUCAAGUCUUGCUACCUGUA